rnacentral:lncRNA from 1 species
CUGAUGUCUGUGAGCUGGGCUGUAAUGCAUCACCCUCAUCCUCAUCAGCCAGGCAGCUCCCUGUCCUUAUGCAGAUGAGAAAUUCCAGGCCCCAGGAGGAAAGUGACCUACUCCAAGUCAUUGCUGCUCUCUGCUCAGAUGCAACUGGGAAGUGAGGUUCUAAGCCAAAGUUCCUGACUCCUGGCCAGACCUGUUUCCUAUAGCAGACAGAUGGACAGAGUCCUUUGUGACCACUCUGCUCGUCCAUAAUUGGGUUGGAAAGGCACUGUUCUCUGCUCCUAUUCUCUCCCUCUGCCCAGCCCGGCAGCUCCCCAUGGCCCUGGCUGACAGCAACCUAAUUUCCCACUUGGGAGGGUGAAUGGAUGGAUGAAUAAAUGAAUGAUGAGGAAAGGCAGGAAGGAAGGAAGGGAGGAACAAAAAAAAGAAGGCAAAGAGAAGGAAGAAAAAAGGAAGGAAGGGAGGGAGGAAGGAAGAAAAGAGGGAAGAAGGAUGAAUAAAAGAAAAGAAGGAAGGAGAGAGGGAAGGAAGGAGGAAAGGAGAGAGGAAGGCAGGGAGGUGGGCCAUCUUAUGCCAAGGCAGGCGUGACAACGGGAGCCCUCCCAGGCCUUGGAUCCAGAUGGAGGAAGAACAUCCCACGCACAUCCAACAUCCAUCCUGGGAAGGGGGCUGCUCUCCGUGGGCCUCCACUGCUCCUGACCCUGGGAUUCUGUGGAGCCAGCCCAGGCUGGCAUCCAGUCAAGGCUGCCCGGAGAGAGAGUGCCACUCACAAGUUCAUCACCGCCCUCCCUGGGGAGACCAGCUAGGCAAGAAGCAAACCUAUUCCCCAGGUGCAGAGUCAGAGGCCCAGAUGCACCUGCUACCUCAACCCCACCAGCCCACAUCACUCGUUACUGGGACAGCACGUGUACACUGAGCACCUCCUGUGGAGCAGGCGAGGUGCAGGCCAGCUCAUUCGAUCUUCCCAGUAAUGCAGGACGCAUCCAUUUCACAGAUGUGGAAGUGGAGGGCCUCAUCCAGGACAACGGGGGUCUCCUGGGGGGGGGGCUGAAGCACCCACCUCCCACCCUCCACAGGGCCAGCCU